rnacentral:lncRNA from 1 species
GCUCUCUUUGUAUUAUGUGAUACUGGCAUUGAUGAGCUUUGCCUGAAGAUUAGUAUGAAUUUUCAAUAAUACACCUCUUUCUCUCUUUGCCUCAUCUCUCCCUUUGUUCUAUGUGAUUUAUUUGGGGAGAAAGCUAAAGGAUCUGAAAUCAGAUAAGAACGUUGUGUAUAGCUUUUAUACUUAAAAGUAGCUUUCUUUGUAUGCCAGCAGCAAAUUGAAUGCUCUCUUACUAAGACUUAUAUAAUAAGUGCAUGUAGGAAUUAAUGAACUGAUACUUGUUGGAAUGUAUGUGAACUAAUUGCGAUUAUAAUAGAGCAUAUUACUGUAGUGCUGAGUGAGCAGGGGCAUUGCCUGCAAGGAGAGGAGACCCUUGGAAUUGUUUUGCACAGGUGUGUCUGGUGAGGAGUUGUUCAGUGUGUGUCUCUUCCUUCCCUUUCUCCUCCUUCCCUUAUUGUAGUGCCUUAUAUGAUAAUGUAGUGGUUCAUAGAGUUUACAGUGAGCUUGCCUUAGGACGGACCAGCAAGCCCCCGUGGACCCAAAGCUGUUCACCGGGAUUUAUCAGAACAGGAUUAGUAGCUGUGUUGUGUAUAUG